GUCUUCUCAGUGACCCUGUAUGAUAGCACUCAAGAAAGUGAGGCUCAGAGAGGUGAAGUAGUUUGACCAAGGUCACACAGCUAAUAAAUGCUGGAGGCAUAUGUCAGUCCAAGUCUACAUGUGUUCCCUAAGCUUUUUUCCAGGGGCCUCAUAUCUAAACAAGGCUUUCACAGAGGUUUUCAGAAGAUGCUGUACACAUGUGAUCCUAAUGAUUCUAAUGAUAACAACCCACCUGCACCAGUUAGCAAUGACGUUUGGUGGAGAAAUCAGAGGAGGGCAAGCUGGAGCUCCGUGUGGCAGUCCUCCAAAUCAUGAGGAACCCAGGUUAUGCCUAGACUUCCGCUCUACCGUCUUCAUGCUCCUGCUUACACUGGCCGCUGCAGUGCCAAACAUCACACCCAUGUUCUAGACAAGAAGGAGGAAGCACAAACAGCAAAAGAAACACACUGCCUGAGGUGUCCUUAUAAGAGGAGGAAAUGAGGACACAGACACACACGGAGGGACAACCACGUGAGGACACAGGGAGAAGAUGGCCAUCUACGAGCCCAGGAGAGAGGCCUCAGGAGAAACCAGCCCUGCCGACACCUCGAUCUGAGACUUCCAGCCUCCGGAACUGUGAGAAAUAGACAUUGCGUAAGCUGCGCGGUCUGUGGGAUCUGUUACAGCAGCCCUAGCAGACUAAAUGUAUGUUCUUUCACAGAAGCAACCAAGAACGAUCCAGCCUAUA
rnacentral:lncRNA from 1 species